rnacentral:rRNA from 1 species
GUCGAGCGACAGUAGCAAUACUGGAGCGGCAAACGGGUGCGUAACACGUGAGCAAUCUGCCCUUAAGACCGGAAUAGCCCAGGGAAACUUGGAUUAACACCGGAUGUGGAGAAGUCAGGCAUCUGAUUUCUUCCAAAGCUUGUAACGGCGCUUAAGGAGGAGCUCGCGGCCUAUCAGCUAGUUGGCGAGGUAACGGCUCACCAAGGCUAAGACGGGUAACUGGUCUGAGAGGAUGAUCAGUCACACUGGAACUGAGACACGGUCUAGACACCUACGGGUGGCAGCAGUUUCGAAUCGUUCACAAUGGGGGCAACCCUGGUGGCGCGACGCCGCGUGGGGGAUGAAGGUCUUCGGAUUGUAAACUCCUGUCAUUGGGGACUAAUGGCCAGGCUCAUACCCUGGUUUGAAUUAACCCAAAGAGGAAGCAGUGGCUAACUCUGUGCCAGCAGCCGCGGUAAUACAGAGACUGCAAGCGUUACUCGGAUUCACUGGGCGUAAAGGGAGCGCAGGCGGACUCGUGUGUCGGACGUGAAAUACCGGGGCUUAACCCCGGUGCUGCGUUCGAAACUACGAGUCUAGAGACUUGGAGGGGUAAGCGGAAUUCUUGGUGGAGCAGUGAAAUGCGUAGAUAUCAAGAGGAACACCAGCGGCGAAGGCAGCUUACUGGACAAGAUCUGACGCUCAGGCUCGAAAGCGUGGGGAGCAAAAGGGAUUAGAUACCCCUGUAGUCCACGCUGUAAACGGUGCGCA